rnacentral:rRNA from 1 species
GACGAACGCUGGCGGCGUGCUUAACAUGCAAGUCGCACGGAAAGGCCCUGCUUUUGUGGGGUGAACGAGUGGCGAACGGGUGAGUAACACGUGAGUAACCUGCCCUCGACUUUGGGAUAACUUCAGGAAACUGGGGCUAAUACCGGAUAGGAGCUCCUGCUGCACGGUGGGGGUUGGAAAGCUUCGGCGGUUGGGGAUGGACUCGCGGCUUAUCAGCUUGUUGGUGGGGUAGUGGCCUACCAAGGCUUUGACGGGUAGCCGGCCUGAGAGGGUGACCGGCCACAUUGGGACUGAGAUACGGCCCAGACUCCUACGGGAGGCAGCAGUGGGGAAUAAUGCACAAUGGGCGGAAGCCUGAUGCAGCAACGCCGCGUGCGGGAUGACGGCCUUCGGGUUGUAAACCGCUUUCGCCUGUGACGAAGCGUGAGUGACGGUAAUGGGUAAAGAAGCACCGGCUAACUACGUG